rnacentral:rRNA from 1 species
UGGGGAAUAUUGCACAAUGGAGGGAACUCUGAUGCAGCGACGCCGCGUGAACGAAGAAGGCUUUCGAGUCGUAAAGUUCUUUUAUAUGGGAAGAUAAUGACGGUACCAUAAGAAAAAGCCCCGGCUAACUACGUGCCAGCAGCCGCGGUAAUACGUAGGUGGCAAGCGUUGUCCGGAAUUAUUGGGCGUAAAGCGCGCGCAGGUGGUUUAGAAAGUCUGAUGUGAAAGCCCACGGCUCAACCGUGGAGGGUCAUUGGAAACUAAUAAACUUGAGUGCAGGAGAGAAAAGUGGAAUUCCUAGUGUAGCGAUGAAAUGCGUAGAGAUUAGGAGGAACACCGGUGGCGAAAGCGGCUUUUUGGCCUGCAACUGACACUGAGGCGCGAAAGCGUGGGGAGCAAACAGG